AGCAGCAUGGCGCAGUGGUAGCGCGCGGGCCCAUAACCCCGAGGUCACUUGAUCGAAACAAGUUGCUGCUA
rnacentral:tRNA from 1 species